GUUGACAUGGCCGAGUGGUCUAAGGCGCCAGAUUAAGGUUCUGGUCCGAUAGGGCGUGGGUUCGAACCCCACUGUCAACA
rfam:Selaginella moellendorffii unplaced genomic scaffold SELMOscaffold_113, whole genome shotgun sequence.